rnacentral:rRNA from 1 species
GACGAACGCUGGCGGCGUGCUUAACACAUGCAAGUCGAACGCUGAAGCACCAGCUUGCUGGUGUGGAUGAGUGGCGAACGGGUGAGUAAUACGUGAGUAACCUGCCCUUGACUCUGGGAUAAGCCCGGGAAACUGGGUCUAAUACUGGAUGCUACAUGUCACCGCAUGGUGGUGUGUGGAAAGGGUUUACUGGUCUUGGAUGGGCUCACGGCCUAUCAGCUUGUUGGUGAGGUAAUGGCUCACCAAGGCGACGACGGGUAGCCGGCCUGAGAGGGUGACCGGCCACACUGGGACUGAGACACGGCCCAGACUCCUACGGGAGGCAGCAGUGGGGAAUAUUGCACAAUGGGCGAAAGCCUGAUGCAGCGACGCCGCGUGAGGGAUGACGGCCUUCAGGUUGUAAACCUCUUUCAGCAGGGAAGAAGCCACAAGUGACGGUACCUGCAGAAGAAGCGCCGGCUAACUACGUG